AUUUGGGGUGAUGGCAUUUGUCUUCCCAAGUCACUGUUACACGUGACAAGGCCCAGCUUUCCUGGAGAUGGCUCAACACCUGUCUGCUCAUGGGAAAUGGUGAAGGAAUUCCUUGUCUUGCUUUGCUUGUAUGCAUGACUUUUGCUUUCCCUAUUAAAUUCUGUUUAUCUCAACCCAUGAGUUUUCUCACUUUUACCCUCUGACUCCCCUAUUACAUCAGGAGUGGGCGGGGGAAGAGUGAGUAGCUGCAUGAGGCUGAGUUUUCAGCCAAGGUUAAACCAUGACAACCGAGAGUAAGUUUCAUAGAGGCUUAUGAUUCUCUAAUAUUUUUCUGUUUGUUUUCCCAUUUUCCUGAAGCAUUUAGUUAUUUAUGUCCUCUAGCUAGUCAAAAUUGAUCCCCCCAGCCCCCAAAAAAGGAUGGUGGUGAUAAGAAUUAUCCCUGCAUAUUAGGUUUCACAAAGAAAAAAAAUUACACAAGAGGAUGCUGUAGAAUAUGAUUUCCACAGCAGCACAAGGAACUAAAAUAUUAGAAUAACCUUGCAUUGCAGCUGAAAGCACUGGGCAUAGGAGAGGUACAGGAGAAAGAACCUGGGUCAGAAGGAGGCUAAGAAAUGAAGUAUGGUUAUGAGAAGGCAUAGGAUUUCUAGAACAUCUCAGAGAAUGCAAUAUAAGAAUACAAUAAUGUAUAAAGCAAAUAGGAUGGACUGUAUUUUACAGAUUUCUCUACCCAUGUAUUGGAUAUAGAAGCUGAUAGUCAAGCAACCACAGAAAAUAAUUUCCAGCUUUAUAAUGAAACAGCCCUAAUUCAGCACCAUGCAUGCCAAGUAGAAAAAGUGGUGUAAGUUCUAAAAAGCCCUGUGGACUCUCUUAAUGCCUAACAAGACGUGCUGUAUGGAUGCAAAUUCAGUGCACUUGAAAAGAAAGCAUAUCCUCAAAAGCUUUAUGACAUGUCCAUGUACACAUGGCCAUACCCUCACAUAAGUAUAUGAUUUCCUAUGCUAAAGCUGUAAUCGUAGGACAUCAAAACUUGUGCUUUUCAUCUGAUUGCAUUCAAAGCAGAAAGCCAAGGUUGUUCACAUUCAUAGAAAUACAGCAUCACAGAUAGCAGUAAGAGAUAUUACAGGUAUGUCAUAGAGACUUCUAAUUCCUAUAGGUUUAAUGCUUGUUAUCUUCAGAAUCAAAGAUAUGAAAACUUUCAGGUUUAAGAGCUGAAACCAUCAGUAAAAAAUCUCAUAUCAAGAGGAUUAAGUGAAAUUCAUAAUAUUUGACUGUUCUUGUAGCACUUUAAUGGCACAUACUAUUUGUCUAAUAAGCAUUUACUUGUCUGUCUUUCCUGGAGUUUUUCUCAGCCUGCACCAAAUUAGCUGGUCAUGGACCUAGGCUUAAGGAGGUGCAUUUUGUUAACUCUAACCAUCGGACUGAAGUAAUAAUCACAGAUGACAGCAGAAACACUUCCUUCGUAGUUUGACUUUUCCGUUUUUGAUCAUGAAUAUUAGUCAGAGGAAAUUGGUGAUGAAAAUAAGUAAGAGUGUCAAAGGAUAAUCCUAAUCCUGGGAAGAUUUGUGUAUUUACUUAAUUUUAAACACCAAGCGUAGCCCUCGAUGCUGUAGGUAAGUACGUUUAGGGUCUGCAUAAUCAGAACUGAAGAACAGAUUCGUGUGGCCUCAGAUUUCACCUUUGAUUUUGGCAUUUUUUGCAGAAAGAUUGAGAAUCAGAAGCUUUGUAAUACUUUUCAAGCUUUUCCAGAAUGAGGGAGGAUACAGGGAUCCAAAAACGCACCUCCAUAAAGCUAUCAACAGGUCACUUCACUAUCACUAUCACACUUCAGGCAGACUUGCAGUUAUGAUAGCUUAGAAAAACAUUCCACUGUGUAUUCCCCAAGCAGUCUUGAAAUACCUCAAGCAAACUAGAAAACCCAUGAAAUUUAAUAUUGCUUUAAAGACAAAUGAGGGUUUCAAGAUAUUAUCAGUGUUUUUAGUAAAUCCUAUUUUCAAUUUAUCCUUCUGAAAGCAGAUACACAAUAUAAUGAUCUAAUUUUUCAUUUCAAUGUUAACACCUGCUGCUAGGAAACUGCAUUCUUCAUUAAAAUGCAAGUACUUUAUGGAAUGAAAAUAUAUGUUCAUUGUGAAUGACCUUUUUUUUUAUUUUGAAAGAGUGUUUUAAAUGAUCAGGCUCAGUGUGGGGAACCACAGUGAGGCACAGCCUCUCAGUGGCUAGGCAGGUCCAUGGGGAAAGAGAUGGGGACUGGUCAGUGUCAGAGACAGAAGAUAUCAGACCUGGCUGGGCUUGUCCCUGGGGAGACAGAGCUGUGGGAAGCUGUAGAUCAGCCCUGCUGAGGCAACGCUAGAGCAGGGGUUGAUGGCCCUUGUGGGGCUGAGAUGGGGUCCUGGGCUGUGGGCAGGGUUGGGGGAGCCCAGGAGGUGGCCAGGAACAGGCAGGACUGGUGGUGCUGUCAGGGCCCUGACAAUAUGAAAGCAGUUUUAAAAACAUGAGUGCUCUAAGUGCACCAGCUGACUCCCUAUAAUUCAUUCUGGUUUGUUAGCGGUGGACUCCAGCUCAGCUUUGGAUUUGUUUUUUCUGUAUUUAGCUCUUCUUAUCUUUUUCUCCUUUUUUUUUGUUUUUGGUACAAUGCAUAAUACAUGUCUCCAUAGCCAGGAACAGAAAAACUAGAAUAAAGCACAAGAUCUUUACAACUGUCUCCCACAUUAAUUGCAGGAACCAAAAAGCUGGUAAAUUAUGGAGAUCUAAAUAUAAAUAUGAUAUAUAUAAAUAUAAAGAUAUAAAUGUACAGAUCUCUUCACUGUCAGUGACAGGACUUGAGGACAUGGCAUGAAGCUGAGUCAGGGGAGGUUUAGGUUGGAUAUGAGGAAAAGAUUUUUCGCACAGACGGAGGUUGAGCACUGCAACAGGCUCCCAGGGAAGUCCUCACAGCCCCAAGCCUGACAGAGUUCAAGAAGUAUUUGCAUAACACUCUCUGGCACAUGGUGUGACUCUUGGGGGGUCCUGUGCAAGGCCAGGAGUUGGACUUGAUAAUCCUGAUGGGACCCUUCCAAUUCAACAUGUCCUAUGACUCUAUAAUGGUUUCUCCUUGCAGGUCAGUAUUAAUUUUGAACCAUUCAUUGUACAUAAAUGUUGGUACAAUCCUCAAUUUUAAUAUGGGAAAACUUGACAAGAAAACUGACAUGCAUAUUUAUGUGGAAAAGUCCUUCAAAAUGCAAAGCUGAAUUUAUAGCUCUGAAAUGGAGCAUAGAAUGGAUUGUUUUUCUUUGCUCACUGCAGCUUUUGUGUUAGACUCGAAAAGAUGGCGCUGAUACCAGCUGUGUUAUUCACAACCAAGAAUUUUAGAUGCUAGGUUGGUCUUGUGACAUUUGCUGCACUCAUGUUCUGCUCAGCUUUUGUGACCUGGUGAAUGAGAUUUUGAAUCUGAGGGUCAGUGAUAAACCAUCACAGGUCACAGCAGAGGUUUUGCCACAGUAUGAAAUGUACUUCCUGUUCUGGAGACAUUCAGAACUCCAGCUGAAGUCAAUGGGGGUUUGGGAAGCAAUGAACACAUUGCUAAGGCCUGAAUAGGGCUGGGAAUUUAGGCUGAGAGGAUGUUCCAUGCAAUUGUUCUAAAGUUUCUGUUGUCAGCAAUAUUUUUCUCUGAGUAAUUCACACUCAUUUCUCAUCUAUUUUCAGGCAUUAAGUGUCAGCUUUCAAUAAGAAAAGCAAAGCUGACUUGCCCACUUGAUUCUAAAUAACAAAAUUUACCUGAAUUACAGUUAUUAUAUUUGUAGUUUAAAAACCCUUUUUGUUAUGAUUGUGAAGCAGAAUUUUUUUACAUGAAGUUCUUUUUCCAUAGAGUGCAAGGCUGUUGUUUGAAUCAAGCCUCUGGACAGCGUCCGUCUGAGGAGAUACACAUGGGCAAUUGUGGUUCAGGGAAACUGUACAUUGACUGACUCUCAGUGGAAAAGAGACUGGAAAAGGUUAUCUGUUUCAAGACAUCUUGGGGGCUUGGAAUGCGUGCAGGAACAUGGAACUUAACAACAGCAUAAUGAAAGUGCAGUGAACUUCUGGAUAUGAAUUUGACCUACCCGUAGUUCAUUCUUCAUGCCUGUGAAGGGUUCUGGUAGCCUUGAGGAACUGAAAGGUUUUCUCCCAUUUCUACUGGACUGGUUCAAUAUCAGAACACAUCAGGAGGACUUUCCACCGGGCACAGAGGGCCUGGCCCUGGGCCAAGCCCCAGCUCCA